rnacentral:rRNA from 1 species
AGAUUAAGUUAUUAAGGGCGCACGGUGAAUGCCUUGGCACUAGAAGCCGAUGAAGGACGUUACUAACGACGAUAUGCUUUGGGGAGCUGUAAGUAAGCUGUGAUCCAGAGAUUUCCGAAUGGGGGAACCCAGCACGAGUUAUGUCGUGUUAUCCAUACGUGAAUUCAUAGCGUAUGAGAAGGUAGACCCGGAGAACUGAAACAUCUUAGUACCCGGAGGAAGAGAAAGAAAAUUCGAUUCCCUGAGUAGCGGCGAGCGAAACGGGAAGAGCCCAAACCAACAAG